UACAGAGGUCCCAAGCGUUGUUCGGAUUCAUUGGGCGUAAAGGGUGCGUAGGCGGCGCCGUUAGUCGGAUGUGAAAUCUCGGGGCUCAACCCUGAAACUGCAUUCGAUACUGCGGUGCUAGAGGACUGGAGAGGAAACUGGAAUUCACGGUGUAGCAGUGAAAUGCGUAGAUAUCGUGAGGAAGACCUGUGGCGAAGGCGGGUUUCUGGACAGUACCUGACGCUGAGGCACGAAGGCCAGGGGGAGCAAAACGGGG
rnacentral:rRNA from 1 species